AGCGAACGCUGGCGGCAGGCUUAACACAUGCAAGUCGAGCGGGCGUAGCAAUACGUCAGCGGCAGACGGGUGAGUAACGCGUGGGAACAUACCUCUUGGUUCGGAACAACACAGGGAAACUUGUGCUAAUACCGGAUAAGCCCUUACGGGGAAAGAUUUAUCGCCGAAAGAUUGGCCCGCGUCUGAUUAGCUUGUUGGUGAGGUAACGGCUCACCAAGGCGACGAUCAGAGCUGGUCUGAGAGGAUGAUCAGCCACAUUGGGACUGAGACACGGCCCAAACUCCUACGGGAGGCAGCAGUGGGGAAUAUUGGACAAUGGGCGCAAGCCUGAUCCAGCCAUGCCGCGUGAGUGAUGAAGGCCCUAGGGUUGUAAAGCUCUUUUGUGCGGGAAGAUAAUGACGGUACCGCAAGAAUAAGCCCCGGCUAACUUCGUGCCAGCAGCCGCCG
rnacentral:rRNA from 1 species